rnacentral:rRNA from 1 species
UAUUGGACAAUGGGGGAAACCCUGAUCCAGCGACGCCGCGUGUGUGAAGAAGGCCUGCGGGUUGUAAAGCACUUUUAGUGGGGAUGAAAAGCGCAAGGUUAAUACCUUUGCGUCUUGACCUAACCCAAAGAAAAAGCACCGGCUAACUCUGUGCCAGCAGCCGCGGUAAUACAGAGGGUGCAAGCGUUAAUCGGAAUUACUGGGCGUAAAGCGUGCGUAGUCGGUUAUUUAAGUCGGGUGUGAAAUCCCCGGGCUCAACCUGGGAAUUGCAUUCGAUACUGGAUAGCUAGAGUUCGGCAGAGGGAAGUGGAAUUUCCGGUGUAGCGGUGAAAUGCGUAGAUAUCGGAAGGAACAUCAGUGGCGAAAGCGACUUCCUGGACCAGAACUGACGAUCAGGCACGAAAGCGUGGGGAGCAAACA